rnacentral:rRNA from 1 species
UACGGAGGAUGCAAGCGUUAUCCGGAAUUAUUGGGCGUAAAGCGUCCGUAGGUGGGUUGUCAAGUCAGUUGUCAAAGGAUGAGGCUUAACCUCAUAAAGGCGACUGAAACUGAUAGUCUAGAGUGCGAUAGGGGCAAGGGGAAUUCCCAGUGUAGCGGUGAAAUGCGUAGAUAUUGGGAAGAACAUCGGUGGCGAAAGCGCCUUGCUGGGUCUGCACUGACACUGAGGGACGAAAGCUAGGGGAGCGAAAGGG